rnacentral:rRNA from 1 species
AGGGUUCGAUUCUGGCUCAGGAUGAACGCUGGCGGCGUGCCUAACACAUGCAAGUCGAGCGAUUCUCUUCGGAGAGGAGCGGCGGACGGGUGAGUAACGCGUGGGUAACCUGCCCUGUACACACGGAUAACAUACCGAAAGGUAUGCUAAUACGGGAUAAUAUGUUUUUGAUCGCAUGGUCGAAAUAUCAAAGCUCCGGCGGUACAGGAUGGACCCGCGUCUGAUUAGCUAGUUGGUGAGGUAAUGGCUCACCAAGGCGACGAUCAGUAGCCGACCUGAGAGGGUGAUCGGCCACAUUGGAACUGAGACACGGUCCAAACUCCUACGGGAGGCAGCAAUGGGGAAUAUUGCACAAUGGGCGAAAGCCUGAUGCAAGCAACGCCGCGUGAGCGAUGAAGGCCUUCGGGUCGUAAAGCUCUGUCCUCAAGGAAGAUAAUGACGGUACUUGAGGAGGAAGCCCCGGCUAACUACGUGCCAGCCGCAGC